ACAUUGAACCUUCGAAGAGAACAGAUGUCAUAGAUUUACCGCUGAAAAAAAUAACAGAAAACAGUGAAUAAAAUAUAUCAAUUCAGUGAAAACAUUCAUUAAAAGUGCUUUUUAAUACUGAUCAUCAAAAUUAAUAAAUAAAACUUGAAGAUGACUAAUAUGGCGAUGGAUGAAGACAACGUGGUUUCCUUAGACAUGUGCCAAAGAAACACGCGCUUCAAGAUGGCGGUCAACAUCACCCCCUCUUCUACACAGCUAGAAAAGAUAAUUGGUGUUAAGAGUUUCAGACAACAGAUGGCCAAAAAACGUAAAAGUCAGCCAAAUUAAUUUUCAAAAGCACAAAUGGGGAUUUUGAAAUCUACACACACAAUUUAAACAUAAAAAAUAACGAAAAAUUAAAAAAAAAUAGUCAAAUUAAAAAAAAAUCAUAAGAAAAAUAAUUAAAACAUAUUCAAAGUAAAAAUGAUCUAAAUCUUAAAAUAAAACUGAAACUACAAACAAGAACAAAAUCGAAAAUAAUAAGAACUAAGAACAAGAAUUUAUUGAAAUUAUUUUGCGACUUAUUUAUAUAGGUCUGUAAUUUCAGAGCAGAAAGAGAAUUGCGCGAGCUUUAAUACGCAUUUACAAUGAAACCGUUAACAAUAAAAAACACACUAAGAUUUAAAACAAAGAUAAAAGGCAUAUCAUUAGAAAAUAUUUAAAAAAAAAUUAACUUUUCAACAAUUCAAAUUAGAACAUAAUCAAAAAUUAUAAGAAUAAAGAACAAGAAUUUAUUGAAAUUAUUUUUCGACUUAUUUAUAUAAGUCUGUAAUUUCAUUGUAGAAAAAGAACUGUGCGAACUUUAAUACGCAUUUACGGUAAAACCAAUGAAAUGAAAGAAACAUAAAAAUUGUUAGAAAAUAAGCAAACAAGAUGAAACAAAAGAAAACAUGAAAUUUUGCAGUUUUGUAACCGUUCGGCUAUAUGGAUCUUUUUGAAUCCGACAGCCGUACAAAUUAAAAUAAAGAAGAAGAAGAAGAAGAA